rnacentral:rRNA from 1 species
AAUGAACGUUGGCGGCAUGGAUUAGGCAUGCAAGUCGAGCGAGAAGUGUAGCAAUACACGGAAAGCGGCGGAAGGGAGAGUAAUACGUGGGAAUCUGCCCUUAGACCUGGGAUAGCAGCGGGAAACUGCUGGUAAUACCAGAUAAUGUCUAUGGACCAAAGGUGUGAUUCCGUCUAGGGAUGAGCCCACGUCCUAUUAGCUAGUUGGUAGGGUAAUGGCCUACCAAGGCGAUGAUGGGUAGCGGGUGUGAGAGCAUGACCCGCCUCACUGGGACUGAGACACUGCCCAGACACCUACGGGUGGCUGCAGUCGAGAAUCUUCGGCAAUGGGCGCAAGCCUGACCGAGCGAUGCCGCGUGCGGGAUGAAGGCCUUCGGGUUGUAAACCGCUGUCGAGGGGGAGCAACUUCCAUAGAGUUAUCCUUAUGGAUUGAGUGAUCCCUGGAGGAAGGACGGGCUAAGUUCGUGCCAGCAGCCGCCUAAGAC